GUGAUGUCAGCCCUUUUUAACCAUAGCCAGUGACUGGUCCUCUCAGCAGUGUUAGCUAGUUCUCUCAUAGCCUGCCGUUGCGCCUGUCCUCUGAUCCCAAUCUCAAUCCCAAGCAAGUUUUCGGGAGUUAGACCAAAGGACGAGGUCUGGUCGCAGAGUAGUUGUUAUGAUCUUUGUGGGAAAAAUUAGUCUCUAAUCCAAGUCCACUUGCAUCUGCCAAUCCCUAGCAGCCUUUAGCAGGCCCAGGUCUGGGUUUGAGGGGCUUGUCCUCGGCUUGUCUCCUUCCUGGACAAAUGUUGAUGAAAACUGACGCUCCUCUUGGUUCAUGAAAGGUUGAGCAUUAAUGGAUUUCCUUUUGCACUCAACUUUCUCGGCUAGACACCUGAGAACCUGGUUGUGUCUCCAUGUGUAUCUGCCCUGAGUAAGGCUAGUCCUACAACCAACCAAGAUGUGCUUGAGUGUUGCUGGGACUGUAUACAGGGUGCAGGAUGGGUCCUUUCCAAACCACACCUGCAGAUUUAUUGGGCUGCAGAUUUAUAGCACAUCAUAUGUCGCUCGGAUGAUGAAACUUGCCCCAGAUUUCACUCAAUGAGAGUUUCCUCUUUUCCACACUCUCCCAAUUCAUCCAGCGACCCUGUUUGGCCAGUGCCACGGCUCUGGCAUAUUUCCUCCUGUUGUCGCACCUCCUCCACUACCAUUUUGUGAUGUUCAGUUACAGAUGCCUGUUGCCACCAAGGUAUUACUGCGCCAAGACCAAAUACUCCUCUACCCUGUUGCACGUGACCCACCACGUCACGAUGCUGAAGAGCGGAUUUCGCCUGUAGCACAGAUGUGGCUGGGGUCCACUUCCUUCCCCAUUGCUAGGGUGGGGGCAGUGCCUCUUACUAUGGGGUCCCAGGAGUCCAUGAGUGACAUCUCAAGCCUCACUUUUGCACAUUUGAACUCCUCAACCAGGCUAGGGAUGGGCAAUGACAGCAUUGGGACACUUGGGAAGUCCGAGCCACUUCUUAACGUAGGAGCUCACUAGCCUCUCUAGUCGAUUGGCAUGAUUGCGUGAGACCUGGGUAAUAACCCAAACUGGAAGCACCAGAGCUUCAGUUUGUCAUGGUCUGGGUGGGUGCCAGUGUUUCUCCCUCCGAGCCAGCAUCUCCACCCGUGGGAGGAGCCUCUGUGUUCUGCUUAUUGCUCGCACCUGUGGGUAAUUAAGCCGGGGACUCAUAAGGCCAGCGCACUCGACCUCUCUUCGCCAGAUUCUCAGCUAACCCUAGUUAGUGCAGGCCACCGCUGUGAUUUUGUACACGACUUGCGAACUACCUUAUCUCAUUCUGUAUCUCUCUUUCAUAGCCACGCACCAAGUUGCCAGACACGAAUCUCCACUGAAGAACAACCAUCUGGACGCUGGACCUCCUGACAGUCUCACGGGUUUCUCGCCCCAUGCAACUGCCUGCCUCCCUGCCUCAAUGCCAGGGAUUUCGGAUUUCAGACCACUCACCCAGACCACUCACCCCUCCACGCCACUACUGACCGCAAUGACUCUGGCCCUUUCCCCGGACCCAGCCAACCAGUUUGACUCUCCCUUCAGCCCAAUCCUUGGAACAGCUGUUUCCACUGACGAGCGAUCAGAUUGCUUACCUAGCUCAGGCUGCAUAAACCCCUUAGGUUUAGUUGUUGCAUCUAGUUCUUGUUAAACUCACAUUUCAGUUUUCUGAUUGUGUACACCUGUUGAGAAAAUAAACGUUGUCACUGAAACUUCCUACGUGCUGUUCUGCGCCCAGCAUUUAAGUCCUUUCUCUUUGGAGGCAGCCGUGACACAGUUUCCCUGGGAGUGUAGUGUUGUUGAUCCGCUGGAGGUCAUCAGCCAAGUUCUGCCUUAAUUGUUCUAGUUUCCACGUAUCAUUGAGGUCUGCAUUAUACCACCGUCCCAGGCUCUUUAUGGGCUUCUCUAAGACUGUUGGAAUUGGUUCUCCACUGAUAUAGAAUUGCUCGGCUGUCAGUUUUCUUUUUAUAAUGGAGAUGCUACGAGAUUUACUUGGCUUAAACUCCAUUCUUGCCCAUUCUAUGUUUUCCUGGAGCUUCUGUAGCAAUUGCCUAGUACAUGGUUUUGUUGUUGUACUGAUGGUCAUGUCAUCCAUGAAGGCCCUAAUGGGAGGAAGACAAAGGCCACUCUUGAGCCUCUCACCUCCCACUACCCACCGGGAUGCCCGCAUGACCAACUCCAUUGCCAUGAUAAAUGCCAGAGGGGAAAUCGUGCAGCCUGCCAUUACUCCAAUUUCCAGAUGCUGCCAGGCUGUGGUAGUGUUCUCAGCUGUCACACAAAACUGUAAAUCCUGAAAGUAGGUAUUGACCACUCCUGUGAUGUGGUUUGGUACGCUGAAAUAGUUGAAGGCCAUCCACAAGAUCUCGUGCGGAACUGACCCAAAGGUGAAUGGCAAGGUCUAAAAAGACCACAUGAUGGUCUCUUCGUUCUUUCUUGGGAGUUUGAAUCUGGUGCCAGACGACGCUGGCAUGCUCCAGACAUGCCGAGAAGCCCCAGAUGCCAUCCUUCUGCACUGAUGUGUCAAUAUAGUUGUUUCUUUGCAGGAAGGUAGAUAGCCUUUGGGCCAAGACACUGAAGAAGAUCUUUCCUUCUACGUUCAGCAGGCUGAUCUGGCGGUACUGGCUGAUGGAUGAGGAGUUCUUCUCCUUAGGGAUCAGAAUACCUCCUGCUCUUCGCCAAGCCUUUGGAAUCACUCCUUUCUGCCAUGCUACCUUCAUCAGCUUCCACAGGUUUUCUACAGGAAGAAAAGAGGCAGCAGCCCAUCUCUGAGCCAGAAGCCCACGAACAUCAUGAGGAAUCUGACGACACUGAACAAAAUCCCAGACCCCCUCUCAUACCAGCCAAGAUGAGGAAGUCGUGUGGGCUAACAGACUUGCUUGGUCAGACUUAUAGUGAUGUUGGAGCCCCACCAAAAUCAUUAUCUGCCACAGCUGAGGAGGAGGUGAAAAGAUACCAGGAGGUCACGCCACUGGCACUCACAGAAGACCCACUAAGCUGGUGGAAAUACCAUGAACAAGUCUAUGCUUUCCUGGCCACGCUGGCAAAAAGAUACCUUUGCAUCCCAGGUACUAGUGUCUCGGCUGAAAGAGUCUUCUCGAAGGCUGGAGACAUCGUCACAGCAAAACAGAGCACUCUACCCAUUUGGAAAAGAAAUAGAAAAAACUUAUAAAAGACUUGCA